GUAAACCUAUUUUUAAGAAAUAAGACUCGUAAGCUUAGUUGAAAAGUGAUUUUGAUUCGGAAAGUUUACCCAAGGAGUUUCCUGAUUUUAAAUCUGUCAACGCAUCCGAAAACAGUUUCAAAAAUCGUUUUCCCUUAAAGUGAUGAAAAUUCCUAGUUAACUAAGCCAGGGUGCUUUCGCACUCCUUGAGUAGUUAAAACUAACCAAGUUUGUUUCAGAAAACUCGAAUUAAAAAUCAAAACAGC
rnacentral:lncRNA from 1 species